AAACAAACUUACGUAGGUGACAAAAGUUUAGUUAUAUUUACGAUUAGCUAUACUACCUGUCGAUAAAUUACUGUAUAGGUAACAAGGAGUGAAGAGAUAGAAGUAUUUCACAUAAUGAAGAAUUUCAAUAUCUUUUAUAUUUUUGUGUUCGGUGUUUGUUUUUUAAUUCGUGCAAUUGAUUGGAAUGAUGCGAAAGCGAUCCAAGGAACAGAAGAGGGAAAAUUCAGGUCCCCUGGAGAUAUACUGAAUCUUGUAAACGAUACGGCCUUGAAAUCAGUAGUACCUCUUAUAGCAGAGAUUCCACUACAAAUUGGAGAAAUGGAGAAGCCACUGGUUGAUAAGCUGUUCCCUAUAGUGAAAAAAUACGCAGAUGAAGUUUCCAUUCUUCCACCUCUUCCGUUUUCAAACAUGAUGCCAGUACAAAUGCAAGAAAAAAUGGCAACCAUGCAAAUUGAACCAAUUUUCAUGGCUUUAAACAGUAAUCCGUUGACAAAAAAGCCUCUCCUCUUUUUCCGACCUCUUUCCGAGCCAAUUGUAGGUCCAUUGAAACCGUUGCUCGAUGAAUUACUUCAAUUGCUGAUCAGUUUGGCGUUCAAAACACUCAUGCACGGUGGAAACAUGAAUAAUGAAAGUUUUGAUUUACCUCAUUAGUAAAUGAAAUAACAAAGCUGUUUCCAAAAUAUUUGUUACGAUGAAUGCACCUAUGCACUUAAUACGAGCACAAAUUCAAGUAGAUACACACAUAAGCACACAUAGAAAAAUGUUAAUAUGCUUUUCUGAAAAAAUUUAUACGCAAGAAAAUUAUCACAUUUUUUUGGUAAUCUUGCUUUUUUUGUCGAGAUUUUUUGAGAUUUUCGAAAUUUUCGGAUUUUUUUGAGAGAGCAUGAGGAAUGUUGCUAUCCGAAAAUGAAUUCCUAGAGUUGGAAGCACUGGUAUUGUUAAAUUGACUAUACCUACUUAUUUUAUACUGCUGUUUUGUAAGAUACCUACCUAUAUACAUAAUUAGUUGGUAAUGAAAUAUAAAACGUGACUAGGUAUUUAUGAAAAUUUUUGAAUUUUUAAAACACAUUUUACGAUAGGUAAUCGAUAAUUACUUUAUAAUUAAAAUAAAUUCUCUAAAAAUGUUAGCAAAUUCCCAUCAGUAGUUCGAAGAGGUAAUUUAAAUUACGAGCAGUUUUCUCAGGAAAAUAAUUUUAGGCGUCAGCACGACAAGCAUUUUUACGUUCAUUGUACAAUAAGUUGAAUGAACGACAAACGGUGAUGCUUUUCUAUGCCAGAUAAAGCCCAAUAGUAAAAUAUGAAUCAAAGACUGAGAGUGUGUAAUGAGAUAAGAAAUAAACUCACCUAAAUAAUCGCAUAGGUACACCACACGGGACCGAUUUUAGUGUCGAUUGGGCUAUUUAAAGGGGAGGGGGACUGAAUUCUCAGAAAUGAGUGUCUUUCAGAAAAAGAAAAGCUUGUUAAAUUAUACACACAUUAUUGAAAAUGAAAAUCACCAAAAAUUUAUCAAAAGAUUACUCGCAUCAAAAUUGGCUUUAAUUUUAGCCAUAAAUUGAUGACAAAUCAACAAAUCUUUGAUCUAAUUACGUAUGAGCUAAAAGUUUAAAUUUCUAGAAAAUUAUCUAGUUUGAUAAGUUUGUUACAAAGCGAUGAAAAUCAUUAAAAAUCACGAAUAGUCGAUGGAACAGAAUAUCAUUUUGGGAAAUGACUCAAAAAUUCUUGAUCAGCAUCAAAAAAACUACAGACAUUCAGACAUCAUGAAAAAUUGAACAAAUAUCAUCAAAAGGAAAGAAAUAUUGGAAAAAUUACCUAUAAAAAAUAUAUUUUUUUUAAAUUACAUGAUCAACAAAGAAUUUCUAAAAAUAAUCUAAGAAUGAAUGCAUUUUGAAUUAAAUUAAAAUUUUAGCGAGAAUUUGAUUCACAAAAAGAAGCUUUCCUUGUCAACAAGCAAAAUCUAUUCCAAUCAAAAAAGGAAAAGAGGUAGCGUUACUUUUUAUAUAAGUUUUACACAUUCUUGUACGAGUAAGAAUUAUUUUUAUUCAGCUUAUUUUGUUACAUAGGUACUUACUCGUAGGUACUUAUUUAUAUUUUGUUUUAUUUCUUUAAACGUUAAUUUUUAUCGAUAAAAUGUCUCUUUUUGAGGGGAAAAGUUCCCCAUACGUGACCUUAUAAGGCAGUUUUAGGUAAUGAAACAUACAUUUUUUUAAUUCA